rnacentral:rRNA from 1 species
GACGAACGCUGGCGGCGUGCUUAACACCUGCAAGUCGAGCGGAGCGGCGAACGGGUGAGUAACGCGGGAGUAACUGCCACCCUCUCGGGGAUAACAGUUGGAAAAGGCUGCCAAUACCGGAUAGUGGGGGCUGACUCGCGUCCUAUCAGCAUGUUGGUGGGGUAGGGGCCUACCAAGGAGACGACGGGUAGCCGGCCUGGGAGGGGGACCGGCCACAUUGGUGUGAGAUACGGACCAAACUCCUACGGGAGGCAGCAGUGGUGAAUAUUGCAGAAUGGGGGAAACUCUGAGGCAGCAACGCCGCGUGCGGGAUGACGGCCUUCGGGUUGUAAACCGCUUUCAGCAAUGACGCGGUAGUGGCAGAAGAAGCACCGGCUAACUACGUGCCAGCAGCCGCGGUAAUAC